UUUGGCACGACACCUGAUGGUUUCUCCCUCCUGGUCGCUGUAUGCCACUGUGCCAAUUAAAUCACUGCUGUAACAGCGGUGCAGCAUCCGGCGCCGCUGUAUAUAUAAACAGGUGGCUGGCUUCACCUCAGUCUCAUGCUUUCCGCUCUGAACUCUCCUCGUGGAGGUGACUGCAGCCGGGCGUGCUCGAUCUGGCGUGGUAAAUCGGGGCGCACGUCACAUCGCUGGUACAGGCAAUGGGCUUUUCCAUUUAACUUUCUGUAAUGUGCGGCGCACGUAGUGACGGCUUUUUUUCCCGCUCUGUUGCGUAGCGACGGCUGUGACGCUGGGAGACGGGUCGCCCUGCUCAGCGUGCCGUGGGUGCAUCCGUGUUGGCGGGCAUAACUGCCGCGGUUGUUGGCAAGUCUCCUCCGCCUGCUUGCUGUCACGGCUAAUCGGGCUGCUGUGAAGCGUGUGGCCUGUGGGACGCCACCGCUUCCCUGGACUGGCUGCUGUUUCGGCUCUUUUCCUACGGCUGUUUCGGCUCUUGUCUUUUUCUACGGCUGUUUCGGCUCUCUGUGCAGCUCUCUUGUCGACGUGUUGUGUCGGCUCGUUCUCUCUGUGGCUCUUUGCUUCAGCGUAGUAGUUUUAUUGCAUUGUACUUUCGGCACUAAAGCCUUAGGCUUUGUAACGCUGUUAUAUCGCCUUAUAUUGUAUAUGCAUUUUAACUAUUGUUCUGUGGAGUGAGUGUGUGUGCGUGUUUUAUGAUUAUGUGUAUCGGUCUGGUCACCAGGCUUCUGUUAAGUUAGCUUUACUAAUAAUUUGUUUCUUUUGUGCAGGUUCGGCAAGCCUCGGCGGCAGUCCAAUCCCUGGUGGUGGUUUCACAAGUCCUCUUUUUCGUUGGUGUGUCAUGUCACAGGCAUACCCAUUUCUUGCAACAGAUGAGAAUACUUGGGACACAAAAGUUAAGAUGAGGUAUGUGAAAUUGCAAAUCACAUUUCAGGUGGAAACACUGUAC
ensembl:lncRNA